rnacentral:rRNA from 1 species
GACGAACGCUGGCGGCGUGCCUAAUACAUGCAAGUUGAGCGCUCAAGGUAGGUACUUGUACCUACGAGAUUAGCAGCGGACGGGUGAGUAACGCGUGGGGAAUCUGCCUUUGAGCGGGGGACAACAUCUGGAAACGAAUGCUAAUACCGCAUAAAAACUUUAAACACAAGGUUUAAGUUUGAAAGAUGCAAUUGCAUCACCCAAAGAUGAUACCCCGUUGGAUUAGCAUGUUGGUGAAGUAAACGCUUACCAAGGCGAUGAUUCAUAAGCGGACCGAGAGGGUGGUCGGGCACAAUUGGACUGGGACACCGCCCAAACCCCUUCGGGGGGGAGCAGGAGGGAAUCCUCCGCAAAGGGCGAAAGUCUGAACGAACAACGGCCGGGGGGUGGAGAAAGUUUUCGGGUCGGAAAAAUCUGUUGGUAGGGGAGAAAGUUGGGGGGAGGGGAAAGCUCAUGAAGUGACGGUAACUACCCAGAAAGGGACGGCUAACUACGUG